AUGAAGACACCAGCAAAUGACUUCUACUUCACCAGGGACCCCUGCUUCCACCACUCAUCAUCUGAAGAAGACUCAUCUGAAAAUCCCACAGACUUAAGUCUAAAGGAUGCCCCACCGAUAGCAGAGCCUUGGUACUAUUACCAUAAACAUCCAUUUGUCACUACCAGAACAGAGCUGACUGAAAUAUCAAAUAGCGAUGACAAGAAUUCUCUGAUUCACCAUCAUGAGGGAAAAGACCCAUACCCAAAUGAAUGGGCAACUUUCUGUGGCUCCAAUUGCCAGCCAAAAGGGCCCCCGGACCGGUGUAUUUUGUACGGAGAACCACUGCUCCGGGGCGCCGACAAAGCAGCCGCGCGGGGCAAAGCAGCGGCGCCGGCCAGCACAGCCACGCUGGCCGAAACAACCGCGCUGGUGACCUGUGGAGCUCCACCGCCUGGGAAUUUCCUAGUCUGUAAAACCACUGCCCGGGUGUACCCAGCCAACUUUAUCCAUCACUGUCGCCACCGCAGUAGGGAGGAGGGCCAUGAUCCAAAUGAACCAGAGCAGCUGAGAAAACUGUCUAUUGGUGGUCUGAGCUGUGAAACUACAGAUGAUCGUUUAAGAGAACAUUUUGAGAAAUGGGGCACACUCACAGAUUGUAUAGUAAUGAAAGACGCCCAAACAAAACGUUUCAGGGACUUUGGUUUUGUAAUUUAUUCUUGUGUUGAAGAGGUGGAGGCAGCAAUGUGUGCUAGACCACACAAGGUUGAUGGGCAUGUAGUGGAACCAAAGAGAGCUGUUUCUGGAGAGGAUUCUGUAAAGCCUGGUGCCCAACUAACAGUGAAGAAAAUUUUUGUUGGUGGUAUUAAAGACAUAGAAGAAUAUAAUUUGAGAAACUACUUUGAAAAGUAUGGCAAGAUUGAAACCAUAAAAGUUAUGGAGGACAGGCAGAGUGGGAAAAAGAGGAUUUGCUUUUGUGACUUUUGAUGAUCAUGAUACAGUUGAUAAAAUUGUUGUUCAGAAAUACCACACUAAUAAUGGGCAUAAUUGUGAAGUGAAAAAGGCCCUUUCUAAAUAAGAGAUGCAGUUUGCUGGAUCACAGAGAGGUCGUGAAAGUGGAUCUGGCAAUUUUAUGGGUCACAGAGGAAACUUUGGAGGUGGUGGAGAUAAUUUUGGCUGUGGUGGAAACUUUGGUGGAAGAGGGCACUAUGGUGGUGGAGGUGGUGGCAGCAGAGGUAGUUAUGAAGAAGGUGAUGGUGGAUAUAAUACACUUGGAGAUGAUGGUGGCAACUAUGGCGGUGGUCUUUGUUACAGUAGUAGAGGGGGCUGUGGUGGUGGUAAACCAGGAUAUGGAAACCUAGGUUGUGGAUAUGGUGAUGGUGGUGGAGGACAUGAUGGUUACAAUGAAGGAGGAAAUUUUGGCGGUGGUAACUAUGGUGAUGGUGGGAACUAUAAUAAUUUUGGAAAUUAUAGUGGACAACAACAAUCAAAUUAUGGACCCAUGAAAGAGGGCAGUUUCAGUGGAAGAAGCUCAGGCAGUUCCUGCGGUGGUGGUUGUGGAUCUGGUGGUGGAAGUGAUGAAUAUGAUAGCAGAAAGUUCUAAAAACAGCAGUAAAGGGCUACAGUUGUUAGCAGGAGGGAGAGUGAAUAGUUUUCACAAAAGCUGCAAGUUGAGACAGUUGUCCCCAGUGCAUUAGAGGUACUGUAAAAAUCUGCCACAGAAGGAACGAUAAUCCAUCGUCAGAAAAGUUACUGCAGCUUAAACAGGAAACCCUUCUCGUACAGGACUGUCAUAGCCACAGUUUGCAAAAACUGCAGCUAUUGAUAAGUACAAUGUAGUGUCAAUUAGAUGUACAUUCCUGAGGUCUUUUAUCUGUUGUAGCUUUGUCUUUGUCCUUUUCUUUUCAUUACAUCAGGUAUAUUGCCCUGUAAAUUGUGGUAGUGGUACCAGGAAUAAAAAACUGAGGAAUUUUUAACUUUUCAAUAUUUGUGUACUUCAGUCUUUCUACACUUUAGUACAGAAACUUUAACAAAAUGCAGUUUUGAAGGUGUUUCCUUGUGAGUUAACAAGUAAAGAAGAUCAUUGUUAAUUACUAUUUUGUAUGCAUUUUACUAAAGUUAACUGUGAAGAAACACCUGCUGACUUGCGUUUAAGGGGAAUCUAUUCUCCCCAUUUCCAAACCAUGAGAUGAAUAGAUGCUGACAUGUGAAGAGAAUAAUAUCUAUGUAUUUGCAGUGUGUGUUUUAGAUAAAUGGGAUUGGGUAUUUAAAUUAGCAUUUGUGAAUUGAAUAGCAUUAAGAUUACCUUCGAAUAAAAAAAUCUCAAAAUUUAUAUUUGGCUUUUGCGUAUUUUCUUUUAAAAUGUAAUCAUAUUAUUUUAGUGUGUUAGACUUGCUGAGUCCUAGCUGUGUUUAGAACAAUUCCAUUCUACAUUUACCUUGGUCAAAUUUGAACUGCUGCCAUAGGUUUUGGGUGUAAAGAAUGUUUACUUCCCACCAUUUAAAAUUCUGAAAAAGGAUAGUGGAUGUUUUCCCUCUCCUAUGUUAGAAACCAUUCUUAAAAACUUUUCAAAAUAUAGGACGAUUAAGCCUGCUAUAUCUGAGCAAAAUUGAUGGGUGCCUUUUUUUUUUCUUUUUUAAAGCGUAAGAGGCCCAUACAUCUUGAGUUAUUUUCCUUGGUUUACAUUUUUUUAUUCAAUUUCUCAGAGUGAGAGAAUAAAAAUAAUGCAUUAUUAAACCCCUAACUGGCUGGCAUGCUUUCCUCUUGGUACCCUAUAGAUUUUGCUAGAUGAAACCAAGGAUAGUUUAGGUAUAAUUGUCCAAAAUAACCUAGCUGCAGCAGAAAUGUAGCACAGUUGCUUAGUACAAGCUUCUCACUUCCUACAGACAUGAAUUCAAAUUUGGAUAGUCUGAGUUCUUAAAUUCCCAAAGAACGCACUGUUAUUUCCUGUGUAUAUUUUAACAUAAAUCAUGUUGUUACCAAUUUGUUUGAAAGGCCCUGGUUGAGAAGAGUUUUGGAUAAUAAGGUCAUAUCUAUAUAUGGUAUAUAUACACCAAUGUCUACUGUUUUGCACCAGCUAGUGCUUACAAUUUCAUUCAAGCCCUGAGUAUGUCCCCUGCCAUUACUUUGGCAGUUGAACGAUGAAUUCAAGAUUCUUAUUUUUGUUUUAAGAAGUAAUAAGCAAAACAAGCAAUAAAAAGGGGAAUGAGGCAUGUCUGAAUAUGCUCUCUUGUUGCACUAAUUCUGUGCCUCUGUGCAUUAAUAUUUGGAUGCAUGCAAUGCUAGCAUGGAAAUUGGUCUUCACACAUACUGCAGUUUUCCAGAAACACUCACAAACCAAUAAAU